GCUAGGGGUGGUGGUGCACACCUGUAAUCCCAGUGACUCAGAGGCUGAGACAGGAUGAACCUUGCAAGUUCAAGGCCAGCCUGGGCAAUUUAGUGAGGCCCUGUCUUAA
rnacentral:sRNA from 1 species